UUUGACGCAGCUAUGAGCCGUUUUUAGGAAGUGUUUCAUUGACUCGUGAUAAUGCUGUUGAGAAAUUGAAAUGAUAAUUGGACCUCACAGAUCGAUUUCGAAAAAUAUGCAUUUCAGACCCCUCUGGUGCUUGCUCGGCAAAUUCAACCUCUGAGGUGGCACUAACACCCAGUCAAGGACAAUGUCAAGGUGCAAAAAGUUGUAACCGUGGCCGUGGUUGUGAGUGGACUGUAGGGGAAACGAAAUUACUUUUAGAUUAUUAUGAGCAAUACUUUCGACCGGUGGGACCCAUGAAAAAAUUCCGAAACAAAAAGGAAAUGUGGUCAAUGAUUGCUUUCAAACUCAAGGAAACCCUUGGAGUGCUCAGGAAUGCAGACCAGUGCUGCACACGCUAUAAGACUGUAAUGAAGCGUAAGAAGACAGCAGUGGACCACAACUCGAAGUCGGGGAACUCUCCAACACCAGUGCCUUUUGAGGACGAAGUUGAGAAAAUUCGCUGGCUUGACGACAGCCUGGAACCAGCAGAGCUACGUGACAGCCACGGGAUAGUUUCGCAAAAGGCGAGACGCAGCCCCUCCUCCUCAUCACUGUCACUCUGUUCUCAAGACAGCACCACUGAUGAACCUGCCAGUGGUUCGGAGGAAUCACAGCCAAGUCCCUCGCAAGGCUCUACAUAUUCUAAGAAAUUGUCUCAUGCAAAGAGUGCACGAGGGUCAACCGCAAGAGCGGAAGAAAUGAAACUUUUUUUUGAAGAGAUGGAGCGCCUUCAAAAGCUAAAAGAAGAGCAAAAGGCUGCUCGUGAAGAAGAGAGACGGUUGCGACAUGACGAAAAGAAAAAGUACAGAGAAGAAAUUAGAAAAGAAAAGGCUGAACGACAUCAACAAAAAAUGGAACUGCUCAAACGCGUCUUGGGGUUACCCUAAGCUAAUUAGCACUGGUGUCGCAGUGGUUGGGACGUAUGUGCAAUAAAUUCAUAUUUUUUUC